rnacentral:miRNA from 1 species
UAGAACUUAGCUAUUUGGAGAGC